AUUGAACGCUGGCGGCAGGCCUAACACAUGCAAGUCGAACGGGCACUUCGGUGCUAGUGGCAGACGGGUGAGUAACGCGUGGGAACGUGCCUUUCGGUUCGGAAUAAUCCAGGGAAACUUGGACUAAUACCGGAUACGCCCUUCGGGGGAAAGAUUUAUCGCCGAAAGAUCGGCCCGCGUCUGAUUAGCUAGUUGGUGAGGUAAAGGCUCACCAAGGCGACGAUCAGUAGCUGGUCUGAGAGGAUGAUCAGCCACACUGGGACUGAGACACGGCCCAGACUCCUACGGGAGGCAGCAGUGGGGAAUAUUGGACAAUGGGCGAAAGCCUGAUCCAGCCAUGCCGCGUGAGUGAUGAAGGCCUUAGGGUUGUAAAGCUCUUUUGUCCGGGAAGAUAAUGACUGUACCGGAAGAAUAAGCCCCGGCUAACUUCGUGCCAGCCGCCGCAGUAAUAC
rnacentral:rRNA from 1 species